rnacentral:rRNA from 1 species
CGCGUAGGCGGCCCUACAAGUCACUUGUGAAAUCUCCGGGCUUAACUCGGAACGGCCAAGUGAAACUGUAGAGCUAGAGUGUGGAAGGGGCAAUCGGAAUUCUUGGUGUAGCGGUGAAAUGCGUAGAUAUCAAGAGGAACACCUGAGGUGAAGACGGGUUGCUGGGCCAACACUGACGCUGAGGCGCGAAAGCCAGGGGAGCAAACGGGAUUAGAUACCCCGGUAGUCCUGGCCCUAAACGAUGAAUACUUGGUGUCUGGAGUCAUUAAUGCUCCGGGUGCCGUCGCUAACGUUUUUAGUAUUCCGCCUGGGGAGUACGCUCGCAAGAGUGAA